rnacentral:rRNA from 1 species
AGCUGAUCACUGGGCGUAAAGCGUGCGCAGGCGGUUUUGUAAGACAGAGGUGAAAUCCCCGGGCUCAACCUGGGAACUGCCUUUGUGACUGCAAGGCUGGAGUGCGGCAGAGGGGGAUGGAAUUCCGCGUGUAGCAGUGAAAUGCGUAGAUAUGCGGAGGAACACCGAUGGCGAAGGCAAUCCCCUGGGCCUGCACUGACGCUCAUGCACGAAAGCGUGGGGAGCGAACA